rnacentral:rRNA from 1 species
AGUGAACGCUGGCGGUAGGCCUAACACAUGCAAGUCGAACGGCAGCACAGUAAGAGCUUGCUCUUACGGGUGGCGAGUGGCGGACGGGUGAGGAAUACAUCGGAAUCUACUUUUUCGUGGGGGAUAACGUAGGGAAACUUACGCUAAUACCGCAUACGACCUACGGGUGAAAGCAGGGGAUCUUCGGACCUUGCGCGAUUGAAUGAGCCGAUGUCGGAUUAGCUAGUUGGCGGGGUAAAGGCCCACCAAGGCGACGAUCCGUAGCUGGUCUGAGAGGAUGAGCGGCAACACUGGAAAUGAGAAACGGUCCAGACUCCUACGGGAGGCAGCAGUAGGGAAUAUUGAGCAAUGGGCGAAAGCUUGAAGGAGCAAUGCCGCGUGGGUGAAGAAGGCCUUCGGAUCGUAAAACCUUUUUAUGGGGAAAGAAAAAAGGAGGAAAAAACCCCGCAUGUCUUGACGGUACCAAAAAAGAAAGCCACGGCUAACUACGUG